rnacentral:lncRNA from 1 species
AAACCACACGAGCAGCGUCACUGCAUGGCAUGCCUGUGCUGGCCAGACAGCUCUCCUGUUGUUAAGGGCAUUUUAGCUAACUGUGAGGCUAAUUUUAGAGGAAAGAAGAUUUCUAGAGAGAAGACUGCUAAUAUAGCAACCUUCUAAACUUGCCGCCUGAAUUACAGUGCUUUGCACUUGCAGCUUUACAUAGUUCUGGUCUUCUUUGUCUGUCUGUAUUUCUCCAUUUUGUUUGCUGUCCUUUCUUGAUCAUUUCUUCUUUCCAGGGCAAAAUAACUGUGGUUAUUACUCUCCUGUGAAUAAACCAUUCUAUAUUUGCCUAUCACAGGAACAAGAGUUUCAUCCACAGUUGCUGAAUUUUUCAAAGUGAAGGAAAAAGGACAUUAGGAAUAAUUUGGGCCUUUGAGACCAUGUCCCUUACCCCCCGCCAAAGUGUCAAGACUCACAUCUUUAAUUCAACAAUCUUUGUAUUAAUUACCUCUGGAUAAGAGAUGGGAGGAUUGAAACUGAAGAGGACUUGAACAAGACUGGCUGUAGGGCUUGGAAAGCUGCAGGCAAUGUGGAAA